UUAGUGGCGAACGGGUGAGUAACGCGUGGGCAACCUGCCCUCUAGAUGGGGACAACAUCCCGAAAGGGGUGCUAAUACCGAAUGUGACAGUAAUCUCGCAUGAGGAUGCUGUGAAAGAUGGCCUCUAUUUAUAAGCUAUCGCUAGAGGAUGGGCCUGCGUCUGAUUAGCUAGUUGGUGGGGUAACGGCCUACCAAGGCGAUGAUCAGUAGCCGGCCUGAGAGGGUGAACGGCCACAUUGGGACUGAGACACGGCCCAAACUCC
rnacentral:rRNA from 1 species